CUGUCAGCUAUUUCUCAACUUACACAUGCAAGUCUCAGCACUCCCGUGAGAACGCCCUUUUACCUCAGUCAGACAAAGGAGCAGGCAUCAGGCACAGAAUUCUAGCCCAUAACGCCUAGUUAUACCACACCCUCAAGGGUACUCAGCAGUGACAAAUAUUAUACAUAAGCGUCAGCUUGAUUUAGUUAAAGAAAGUUAGAGCCGGCUAAUCUGGUGCCAGCCGCCGCGGCUACACCAGCAGGCUCAAGUUGAUAAACACCGGCGUUAAGCGUGAUUAAAGAAAACCUAAAUUAGAGUUAAACAUGCAUUUAGUAGUGAUAAGCUUAUUACCUGGAAUAACAAAAACGAAAGUUACUCUAAUUCUGCUUGAAUACACGACAGCCAGGGUACAAACUGGGAUUAGAUACCCCACUA
rnacentral:rRNA from 1 species